rnacentral:rRNA from 1 species
UACGGAGGGAGCUAGCGUUGUUCGGAAGUACUGGGCGUAAAGCGCACGUAGGCGGCGCGGCAAGUCAGGGGUGAAAUCCCGGGGCUCAACCUCGGAACUGCCUUUGAUACAGCAAGUCUUGAGUUCGAGAGAGGUGGGUGGAAUUCCUAGUGUAGAGGUGAAAUUCGUAGAUAUUAGGAAGAACACCGGUGGCGAAGGCGGCCCACUGGCUCGACGACGUGACGCUGAGGUGCGAAAGCGUGGGGAGCAAACAGG